GCCCCCUUAGCUCAGGGGAUAGAGCAACGGCCUCCGGAGCCGUGUGCGCAGGUUCGAAUCCUGCAGGGGGCG
rnacentral:tRNA from 4 species